CCUACGGGAGGCAGCAGUGAGGAAUAUUGGUCAAUGGGCGCGAGCCUGAACCAGCCAAGUAGCGUGAAGGAUGACGGCCCUACGGGUUGUAAACUUCUUUUAUCAGGGAAUAAAGUGCGGCACGUGUGCCUUUUUGUAUGUACUUUAUGAAUAAGGAUCGGCUAACUCCGUGCCAGCAGCCGCGGUAAUACGGAGGAUCCGAGCGUUAUCCGGAUUUAUUGGGUUUAAAGGGAGCGUAGAUGGGUUGUUAAGUCAGUUGUGAAAGUUUGCGGCUCAACCGUAAAAUUGCAAUUGAUACUGGCAGUCUUGAGUACAGUUGAGGUAGGCGGAAUGCGUGGUGUAGCGGUGAAAUGCAUAGAUAUCACGAAGAACUCCGAUUGCGAAGGCAGCAUACCAAACUGCAACUGACAGUCAUGCUCGAAAGUGUGGGUAUCAAACAGGAUUAGAUACCCGAGUAGUC
rnacentral:rRNA from 1 species